rnacentral:rRNA from 1 species
UGGGGAAUAUUGCACAAUGGGCGCAAGCCUGAUGCAGCCAUGCCGCGUGUGUGAAGAAGGUCUUCGGGUUGUAAAGCACUUUCAGCGGGGAGGAAGGCGGUGAGGUUAAUAACCUCAUCGAUUGACGUUACCCGCAGAAGUAGCACCGGCUAACUCCGUGCCAGCAGCCGCGGUAAUACGGAGGGUGCAAGCGUUAAUCUGAAUUACUGGGCGUAAAGCGCACGCAGGCGGUCUGUCAAGUCGGAUGUGAAAUCCCCGGGCUCAACCUGGGAAUUGCAUUCUAAACUGGCAGGCUAGAGUCUUGUAGAGGGGGGUAGAAUACCAGGUGUAGCGGUGAAAUGCGUAGAGAUCUGGAGGAAUACCGGUAGCGAAGGCGGCCCCCUGUACAAAGACUGACGCUCAGGUGCGAAAGCGUGGGGAGCAAACAGG